rnacentral:rRNA from 1 species
UCAGUAACACGUAGUCAACAUGCCCAGGGGACGUGGAUUACCUCGGGAAACUGAGGAUAACCGCGAUAAGUCACUACUUCUGGAAUGGGUAAUGACUCAAAUCUAUAUGGCCCCUGGAUUGGACUGCGGCCGAUCAGGCUGUUGGUGAGGUAAUGGCCCACCAAACCUGUAACCGGUACGGGCUCUGAGAGGAGGAGCCCGGAGAUGGGCACUGAGACAAGGGCCCAGGCCCUAUGGGGCGCAGCAGGCGCGAAACCUCUGCAAUAGGCGAAAGCUUGACAGGGUUACUCUGAGUGAUUUCCGUUAAGGAGAUCUUUUGGCACCUCUAAAAAUGGUGCAGAAUA